rnacentral:tRNA from 1 species
GCGCCGGUGGUGUAAAGGAGCAUUCCCGUCCGAUCAGAAGGAGGUGCGGGUUCGAGUCCCGCCUGCCGCA